rnacentral:tRNA from 1 species
AGGAGAAUAGUUACCCCACUGGUCUUAGGCACCACAAUUCUUGGUGCAAAU